rnacentral:rRNA from 1 species
AGAUUGAACGCUGGCGGCAGGCUUAACACAUGCAAGUCGAGCGGUAACAGGGGGUGCUUGCACCCCGCUGACGAGCGGCGGACGGGUGAGUAAUGCUUAGGAAUCUGCCCAGUAGUGGGGGAUAGCCCGGGGAAACCCGGAUUAAUACCGCAUACGUCCUACGGGAGAAAGCAGGGGAUCUUCGGACCUUGCGCUAUUGGAUGAGCCUAAGUCGGAUUAGCUAGUUGGUGGGGUAAAGGCCUACCAAGGCGACGAUCCGUAGCUGGUCUGAGAGGAUGAUCAGCCACAUCGGGACUGAGACACGGCCCGAACUCCUACGGGAGGCAGCAGUGGGGAAUAUUGGACAAUGGGGGCAACCCUGAUCCAGCCAUGCCGCGUGUGUGAAGAAGGCUUUCGGGUUGUAAAGCACUUUCAGCGAGGAGGAAGGCCUUAAAGUUAAUACCUUUGAGGAUUGACGUUACUCGCAGAAGAAGCACCGGCUAACUCCGUGCCAGCAGCCGCGGUAAUACGGAGGGUGCAAGCGUUAAUCGGAAUUACUGGGCGUAAAGCGCGCGUAGGUGGUUAGGUAAGCGAGAUGUGAAAGCCCCGGGCUUAACCUGGGAACGGCAUUUCGAACUGUCUGACUAGAGUGUGGUAGAGGGUAGUGGAAUUUCCUGUGUAGCGGUGAAAUGCGUAGAUAUAGGAAGGAACACCAGUGGCGAAGGCGGCUACCUGGACCAACACUGACACUGAGGUGCGAAAGCGUGGGGAGCAAACAGGAUUAGAUACCCUGGUAGUCCACGCCGUAAACGAUGUCAACUAGCCGUUGGGACUCUUGAAGUCUUAGUGGCGCAGCUAACGCACUAAGUUGACCGCCUGGGGAGUACGGCCGCAAGGUUAAAACUCAAAUGAAUUGACGGGGGCCCGCACAAGCGGUGGAGCAUGUGGUUUAAUUCGACGCAACGCGAAGAACCUUACCUGGCCUUGACAUCCAGAGAACUUUCCAGAGAUGGAUUGGUGCCUUCGGGAACUCUGAGACAGGUGCUGCAUGGCCGUCGUCAGCUCGUGUCGUGAGAUGUUGGGUUAAGUCCCGUAACGAGCGCAACCCCUAUCCCUGGUUGCUAGCAGGUAAUGCUGAGAACUCCAGGGAGACUGCCGGUGACAAACCGGAGGAAGGUGGGGAUGACGUCAGGUCAUCAUGGCCCUUACGGCCAGGGCUACACACGUGCUACAAUGGCGCGUACAGAGGGCUGCCAACUCGCGAGAGUGCGCCAAUCCCUUAAAA